UUAAUACUCACUUUUGUAUUGAGCCUGAACAGGCUGUGGCUUUUCAUUUACUAGAAUGUGUGUAUUCAAUCGAAUGAAUUCAGUUGGUUGCUAAAUUCAAUUCCGAUCCGGUCAGGUGCGUUGUUCGGCUGAUUCUCAGAUAUUUCCACAGAGCCACCAUGUGCUGUCCAAGUCGCUAUUACCGGAACACGCCGUGCGUGCAGUGCUGUCUCAUCGACUGCAGCUACUGCUGCUUCCGAUCAGACUGUUGUGGCCCCUGCUGUGGGACCACCCACCCGCCUAGCUUGUGCGGCGGGUGCUGUGGAUCUUGCUGCUAGCAGGGCUGAAGAUGGACCACGACAACGCACCCCGACCCGGCGGACUGGCAAGCAUUCUCCAACUGGAUUUAGAAUUUAUUCUCUUUUAUGAACAGCAACAGCAACAGAACGAGUAGUAGUAGGCUUCGAAUCGAUUUGGAGCAGCUGUCCAGGUUGACGAGCUGCCGAAUAUCGGCUGGAGCUCAUUCCGACUUUGAGCCUGGUUGUGAACACAUCAAAAAAAGUUUUCAAUCUCCAAAAACCAACAUCUUUUGGAACCCUUUUUUUGUUUGUGACUUGGUCUACCUUUGACAGAACACCUGUGCUCUCUGUCGAAACCAUCCUCCAUCUCCAUCUCCUGUUCCUGCUCCUACUCCAGCUGACUACGCUCAUCAGGAUGUGCUGCAAUCCCGGUGGCAGCUGCGGUCUGCCCGCCUGUAUCCAGUGCACCAACUUCUGCUUCAACUGCUGGACCGGCACGGCGAGCGUUCCCAGCUGUCGCCCUGGCUACACACCAGCCUGUCCGCUCUAUCGCGGCUGCUGCGGUGGGCCUCGAGGCUGUUGCUAGCCACCCCCUUCGAUGUCUACGAAACUGAGAAAUCAAAUUUACCGUCUCUCAUAGAAAAUCAUCUGUGAAUAAAUCCCAACAAAACAAAU